rnacentral:rRNA from 1 species
UACGAAGGGAGCUAGCGUUGUUCGGAAUCACUGGGCGUAAAGCGCACGUAGGCGGAUGUGUCAGUCAGGGGUGAAAUCCCGGAGCUCAACUUCGGAACUGCCUUUGAUACAGCACAUCUGGAGUCCGGAAGAGGUGGGUGGAAUUCCUAGUGUAGAGGUGAAAUUCGUAGAUAUCGGGAGGAACACCGGUGGCGAAGGCGGCGACCUGGGACGAUACUGACGCUGAGGUGCGAAAGCGUGGGGAGCAAACAGGA